rnacentral:tRNA from 1 species
UAGAGAGAAGUGUAAAUGUGUGCACUUGGUCUUUUGGUGGCUAAAGAGGCAAGAGGACUUGCCCUCUCUAU